GCAAUGGGAGCGUCCCGCCGCGCCGCCUCUGGACAGCGCCUGGCACGGCCCAUUCGCGGGGCAGGGGGCGCCGCCCCGCGCCAAUGCGGAGUCCGGCCAGCCCUGCGCCAGUUCUCUCCUUGGAGGAGCUACGGAGCUACAUUUCCACACCUACCACUGUGGAUGAAAUUGUCAUCAGAGCAGCAUCGGACUGCCAGGGAUCAGCUUCUUCCACACAGCUCUCUGUGUGUGUAUACAUAUCUAGCUACAGAUGUGUAUAUCUACACAGGCUUGGCUUCUGUCACGUAACAGAAAACGUGUGAGAAUGGAGGAGAAGGUGGUUCGGGGCAGUGGAUUCAUUCCUUCCUCAGCCUUUCAAUUUUCUUUGAUGGACAUAAUUCUCAAAAAGAUUUCCCCAAAGGCCCUUCCCCAUUCAGGAAAUGCUGCUGGAAGUUGGGUGUAGGUUUGGAAGUGUGAUCCACCACAAACGGCAGGAGUCCAGGAAUUCUCAGGAAGGUACUUCUCCCAGAUGCAAGCUGGAUUAUUUUCAUCGCAUUCUCUGUGUACCAGGCAGGAGUGGAAUCCAUUCUCCAGCUCCUCAGAUCCUGCCUCACUUGUAAAAGUCCACUCAACCAGAGUCAGCGGGAAGUACCCCUUGGUAUGUCAGGAUCUGAAUAAACCUCUAAACUACAAAAA